rnacentral:rRNA from 1 species
CCUACGGGGCGCAGCAGUGGGGAAUAUUGCGCAAUGGGCGAAAGCCUGACGCAGCGACGCCGCGUGAGGGAUGAAGGUCUUCGGAUCGUAAACCUCUGUCAGCAGGGAAGAACGGUCACUGUGCUAAUCAGCAGUGAAUUGACGGUACCUGCAAAGGAAGCACCGGCUAACUCCGUGCCAGCAGCCGCGGUAAUACGGAGGGUGCGAGCGUUAAUCGGAAUUACUGGGCGUAAAGCGCUCGUAGGCGGUAUGUCAAGUUAGUGGUAAAACGUCGGGGCUUCACCUUGAUUGGCCAUUAAAACUGGAGUACUAGAGUACAGACGAGGUAGGCGGAAUAAGUUAAGUAGCGGUGAAAUGCUUAGAUAUAACUUAGAACCCCGAUAGCGAAGGCAGCUUACCAGACUGUUACUGACGCUGAAGCACGAGAGCGUGGGUAGCGAACAGGAUUAGAUACCCGGGUAGUC